rnacentral:rRNA from 1 species
GAUGAACGCUAGCGGGAGGCUUAACACAUGCAAGUCGAGCGGGAUUAGCAGCAAUGCUAUGAGAGCGGCGCACGGGUGCGUAACGCGUAUGCAACCUGCCUUAUACAGGGGAAUAGCCCAUGGAAACGUGGAUUAAAGUCCCAUAGGAUUACGGAUUCGCAUGGAUUUGUGAUUAAAACUGAGGUGGUAUAAGAUGGGCAUGCGUCUGAUUAGGUAGUUGGUGAGGUAAUGGCUCACCAAGCCGACGAUCAGUAGGGGUUCUGAGAGGGUGGCCCCCCAAAUGGAACUGAAACACGGUCCAUACACCUACGGGUGGCAGCAGUAGGGGAUAUUGGUAAUGGG